rnacentral:rRNA from 1 species
CUCACUAGUCGAGUCGGCCUGCGCGGAAGAUGUAACGGGGCUCAAACCACACACCGAAGCUGCGGGUGUCACGUAAGUGACGCGGUAGAGGAGCGUUCUGUAAGCCUGUGAAGGUGAGUUGAGAAGCUUGCUGGAGGUAUCAGAAGUGCGAAUGCUGACAUGAGUAACGACAAUGGGUGUGAAAAACACCCACGCCGAAAGACCAAGGGUUCCUGCGCAACGUUAAUCGACGCAGGGUUAGUCGGUUCCUAAGGCGAGGCUGAAAAGCGUAGUCGAUGGGAAACAGGUUAAUAUUCCUGUACUUCUGGUUACUGCGAUGGAGGGACGGAGAAGGCUAGGCCAGCUUGGCGUUGGUUGUCCAAGUUUAAGGUGGUAGGCUGAAAUCUUAGGUAAAUCCGGGGUUUCAAGGCCGAGAGCUGAUGACGAGUCGUCUUUUAGAUGACGAAGUGGUUGAUGCCAUGCUUCCAAGAAAAGCUUCUAAGCUUCAGGUAACCAGGAACCGUACCCCAAACCGACACAGGUGGUCGGGUAGAGAAUACCAAGGCGCUUGAGAGAACUCGGGUGAAGGAACUAGGCAAAAUGGCACCGUAACUUCGGGAGAAGGUGCGCCGGCUAGGGUGAAGGAUUUACUCCGUAAGCUCUGGCUGGUCGAAGAUACCAGGCCGCUGCGACUGUUUAUUAAAAACACAGCACUCUGCAAACACGAAAGUGGACGUAUAGGGUGUGACGCCUGCCCGGUGCCGGAAGGUUAAUUGAUGGGGUUAGCGCAAGCGAAGCUCUUGAUCGAAGCCCCGGUAAACGGCGGCCGUAACUAUAACGGUCCUAAGGUAGCGAAAUUCCUUGUCGGGUAAGUUCCGACCUGCACGAAUGGCGUAACGAUGGCGGCGCUGUCUCCACCCGAGACUCAGUGAAAUUGAAAUCGCUGUGAAGAUGCAGUGUAUCCGCGGCUAGA